rnacentral:rRNA from 1 species
CCUACGGGUGGCAGCAGUGGGGAAUAUUGGACAAUGGGCGAAAGCCUGAUCCAGCCAUGCCGCGUGUGUGAAGAAGGCCUUCGGGUUGUAAAGCACUUUCAGUGGGGAAGAAAGCCUUGGGGCUAAUACCCUCGAGGAAGGACAUCACCCACAGAAGAAGCACCGGCUACUCCGUGCCAGCAGCCGCGGUAAUACGGAGGGUGCGAGCGUUAAUCGGAAUUACUGGGCGUAAAGCGCGCGUAGGCGGUCUGAUAAGCCGGUUGUGAAAGCCCCGGGCUCAACCUGGGAACGGCAUCCGGAACUGUCAGGCUAGAGUGCAGGAGAGGAAGGUAGAAUUCCCGGUGUAGCGGUGAAAUGCGUAGAGAUCGGGAGGAAUACCAGUGGCGAAGGCGGCCUUCUGGACUGACACUGACGCUGAGGUGCGAAAGCGUGGGUAGCAAACAGGAUUAGAUACCCGAGUAGUC